rnacentral:rRNA from 1 species
UACGUAGGGGGCGUAGCGUUGUCCGGAUUUAUUGGGCGUAAAGAGCGCGUAGGCGGCCGAGUAAGUCCGACGUGAAAUCUGGAGGCUCAACCUCCAGCGGUCGUUGGAAACUACUCGGCUAGAGUCCGGAAGAGGAGAGUGGAAUUCCUGGUGUAGCGGUGAAAUGCGCAGAUAUCAGGAAGAACACCGAUGGCGAAGGCAGCUCUCUGGGACGGUACUGACGCUGAGGCGCGAAAGCGUGGGGAGCGAACAGG